CAGGGCUGCAAACCCAGCUGUGCCGACUGCACAGCACGUGCAAAGCUGUGGAACUCCUUGCCACAAGAAAUUAUCCUGCUGAUGGACCCCGCUGCCCGUGGGAGCCCCUGGAGGAGGAAGGUGCCGCCGCAAUGCCUUGGUGGUGGCAGGAGGGAGGUCAUUGCUGGGGACCAGCUGCUCUCCGUCUCUGCCAUAUGUCUGUCUCUGUACGCAGCCCGAAUGUAAGUGCCUUUUAUUAAAUAACAACAUCUUUAAUUGAAUAAAACUCCCAAGGCUGGUUGAAUUCCAAAAAACGUCAGCUCCAGGCACCACAUUCCCUCCCUCCUUUGACUUUAAGCUUUUUAAGCCCAAACAUUUCUCAGAUAUUACCUCUUCUGCAUUCCUCAUUGGUAGGAGCCACCAGUUUAACACAGUUCUGUGCCCAGUUUGAGGAACAGCAGCGUCUAGGGGUUGUGGCCAGCAGGCAGCAUAGAUGAGGACAUACUUAGCUUGCCUCCAGGCUCCAGUCAUGCUAUCUUCCCAUGUCCUGCAUCUUCCCCCUCCUUCUGGCAGUUAUUUGAGGUUAAUGGUCUGGAUGAUGAUCUUCUACUGCAGCUCCAAGGUAACGCAGUUGCUGUGGUAAAAGGUCCUGAGAGACGUUCUUACUCUCAGGAAAGGAAUCCCCACCUUGUGCCAGUGGGGCAGCAGGGCAAGGGGGUGGGGAAACUGAGCCAUGAAUUAACUCAGAGACCCCCACUUUCUCCACCGAGGCAGAAGAUGUGGGGGGCAGGGUAUGGGAACACACAUUAAAGGAACUAUUGGGAAAGCAGACAGUAGACUGGAGACACAUGCACAGGGCAAAAUCUGAGGGAACACCAUCUGGAGAAAAGGGUGAACAGAGCACUGGAUGUAGUAGAGAAAGUUAGGAGGAUGGGGAAGGGGUAAAGGCUUUCAGGUUUGGCUAUGGAAAUGUGUUCAGGACCUUUCAGAGGGGCAGGAAGAAGCCCAGGUGCCUCUGUGAAUGGGGACACAAGGCAGGGGCUGUGAGGGAGCCUGGAGAAAGGCAGUGUAGCAUUUGCUCUGCUACAACUGGCAGGUGCCUGUGUUUUUUGAACAGAAGGUCAUAUAUUUUGUGUGAAGUCUCCUGCAUCUAGGGAAUGACUUUAAUGUAGCUUGAAGUGCCAAUAAGUAGAACAAGUAUGUGCCAUUACCAAUAACAAUAACAGCCCCAGAAUAUUUUCCACGCAAGGAUCUCAAAGC
rnacentral:lncRNA from 1 species